rnacentral:rRNA from 1 species
AGUGAACGCUGGCGGUAGGCCUAACACAUGUAAGUCGAACGGCAGCACAGUAAGAGCUUGCUCUUACGGGUGGCGAGUGGCGGACGGGUGAGGAAUACAUCGGAAUCUACUUUUUCGUGGGGGAUAACGUAGGGAAACUUACGCUAAUACCGCAUACGACCUACGGGUGAAAGCAGGGGAUCUUCGGACCUUGCGCGAUUGAAUGAGCCGAUGUCGGAUUAGCUAGUUGGCGGGGUAAAGGCCCACCAAGGCGACGAUCCGUAGCUGGUCUGAGAGGAUGAUCAGCCACACUGGAACUGAGACACGGUCCAGACUCCUACGGGAGGCAGCAGUGGGGAAUAUUGGACAAUGGGCGCAAGCCUGUUCCAGCCAUACCGCGUGGGUGAAGAAGGCCUUCGGGUUGUAAAGCCCUUUUGUUGGGAAAGAAAAGCAGCAGGUUAAUACCCCGCUGUUCUGACGGUACCCAAAGAAUAAGCACCGGCUAACUUCGUG